GUCUACAGCCAUUCAGCCAUGAAUGUGUCCAGUCUGGCUGAUCUCGGCAGCUAAGCAGGGUUGGGCCUGAUUAGUAACUUUGGAUGAGAGAUUAUUUGGAAAUAUUAGAUACUAUAGUCU
rnacentral:rRNA from 1 species